rnacentral:rRNA from 1 species
GUGGGGAAUAUUGGACAAUGGGCGAAAGCCUGAUCCAGCCAUGCCGCGUGUGUGAAGAAGGCCUUUUGGUUGUAAAGCACUUUAAGCGAGGAGGAGGCUACCGAGAUUAAUACUCUUGGAUAGUGGACGUUACUCGCAGAAUAAGCACCGGCUAAAUCUGUGCCAGCAGCCGCGGUAAUACAGAGGGUGCGGGCGGUAAUCGGAUUUACUGGGCGUAAAGGGUGCGUAGGCGGCUUUUUAAGUCGGAUGUGAAAUCCCUGAGCUUAACCUAGGAAUUGCAUUCGAUACUGGGAAGCUAGAGUAUGGGAGAGGAUGGUAGAAUUCCAGGUGUAGCGGUGAAAUGCGUAGAGAUCUGGAGGAAUACCGAUGGCGAAGGCAGCCAUCUGGCCUAAUACUGACGCUGAGGUACGAAAGCAUGGGGAGCAAACAGGAUUAGAUACCCUAGUAGUCC